CUGUGAUGUGUGUGUGUGCUUCUUGUAUGUCUUUAUGCCACUGUCAAAGACAAUUUUCCAUUUUAUGUAAGUUUUAUGGACAUUAAAGAAGUCUAAGUCUAAGGCUAAGUGAGAGAAAUU